rnacentral:rRNA from 1 species
ACCUCAGUAACGGCGAGUGAAGCGGUAACAGCUCAAAUUUGAAAUCUGGCCUCACGGUCCGAGUUGUAAUUUGUAGAGGAUGCUUCGAGCAUGGUCUGGCCUAAGUUCCUUGGAACAGGACGUCAUAGAGGGUGAGAAUCCCGUAUGCGGCCAGGUGCCUACGCUCAUGUGAAGCUCCUUCGACGAGUCGAGUUGUUUGGGAAUGCAGCUCAAAAUGGGUGGUAAAUUUCAUCUAAAGCUAAAUAUUGGCCAGAGACCGAUAGCGCACAAGUAGAGUGAUCGAAAGAUGAAAAGCACUUUGGAAAGAGAGUUAAACAGUACGUGAAAUUGUUGAAAGGGAAGCGCUUGCAACCAGACUUGCGCGCGGCCGAUCAUCCGGUGUUCUCACCGGUGCACUCGGCCCGUGCUCAGGCCAGCAUCGGUUUUGGCGGCUGGAUAAAGGCCCUAGGAAUGUAGCUCCUCUCGGGGAGUGUUAUAGCCUAGGGUGCAAUGCAGCCUGCUGGGACCGAGGACCGCGCUUCGGCUAGGAUGCUGGCGUAAUGGUUGUAAGCGGCCCGUCUUGAAACACGGACCAAGGAGUCUAACAUCUAUGCGAGUGUUUGGGUGUCAAACCCAUACGCGUAAUGAAAGUGAACGGAGGUGAGAACCCUUAAGGGUGCAUCAUCGACCGGUCCUGAAGUUUACGGAAGGAUCUGAGUAAGAGCAUAGCUGUUGGGACCCGAAAGAUGGUGAACUAUGCCUGAAUAGGGUGAAGCCAGAGGAAACUCUGGUGGAGGCUCGCAGCGGUUCUGACGUGCAAAUCGAUCGUCAAAUUUGGGUAUAGGGGCGAAAGACUAAUCGAACCAUUGACCUGUAGGAACACUACUAGGUGGUUAAGAGGCGGCUAAAAGUGCCGUCUAGUCCCGACGCCGGGGCGACACUGUCAAAUUGCGGGAACAUCCUUAGAGCCUAGACUACCGCAGCCUUCCUGAAAGGGGGGUGCGCACCAGGGUAAUGACCUCGGGUAUGGUAAUAACGUCUAGGAUUGGACAAUCCGCAGCCAAGCCCUACGGACCUCGGUCUAUGGGUGCAGUUCAUCGACUAGAUGGCAGUGGGUGGCAGCAAUGCCGCUUAAGAUAUAGUCAGACCCCCGGGAGACCGGGCGGCAGAACGAAGACCGUGGGGGGCGUCCUCUCUGAGAGCCCCGCGGUCCCGAGUCUGCUGGUGGCGUCGC